rnacentral:rRNA from 1 species
UUGCAGGCUGCAACUCGCCUGCAUGAAGUCGGAAUUGCUAGUAAUCGCGGAUCAGCAUGCCGCGGUGAAUACGUUCCCGGGCCUUGUACACACCGCCCGUCACACCAUGAGAGCCGGUAACACCCGAAGUCAGUAGUCUAACCGCAAGGGGGACGCUGCCGAAGGUGGGGCUGGUGAUUGGGGUGAAGUCGUAACAAGGUAAC